UGGGGAAUCUUGCACAAUGGGGGCAACCCUGAUGCAGCGACGCCGCGUGAGCGAUGAAGGUUUUCGAAUCGUAAAGCUCUGUCCUAUGGGAAGAUAAUGACGGUACCAUAGGAGGAAGCCCCGGCUAACUACGUGCCAGCAGCCGCGGUAAUACGUAGGGGGCGAGCGUUGUCCGGAAUUACUGGGCGUAAAGGGUUCGCAGGCGGCAUGGCAAGUCCGAUGUAAAAGGCGAAGGCUCAACCUUCGUAAGCAUCGGAAACUGUCAAGCUUGAGUGAAGGAGAGGCAAGUGGAAUUCCUGGUCUAGCGGUGGAAUGCGUAGAUAUUAGGAGGAAUACCGGUGGCGAAGGCGACUUGCUGGACUUCAACUGACGCUGAGGAACGAAAGCGUGGGUAGCAAACAGG
rnacentral:rRNA from 1 species